rnacentral:rRNA from 1 species
CACGUAGGGUGCGAGCGUUGUCCGGAAUUAUUGGGCGUAAAGAGCUCGUAGGCGGUGUGUCGCGUCGGCCGUGAAAACCUGGGGCUUAACUCUGGGCGUGCGGUCGAUACGGGCAUCACUGGAGUUCGGCAGGGGAGACUGGAAUUCCUGGUGUAGCGGUGAAAUGCGCAGAUAUUGGGAAGAACACCAGUGGCGAAGGCGGUUCUCUGGGACGGUACUGACGCUGAGACGCGAAAGCGUGGGGAGCGAACAGG